GAAAUUCCUUUUUCUUCUGCCCCUUCAACUGUGGGUUCUUCUUGUGACCCAUUAGCUUCAUUCCUUUGUUAAAGUCAACUUUGUCCAGCGACGUGAGACAUUUGUUCUUAAAACCUAGGCAAGAGUUAAUUUAUGUAGCUCCCAUAUGAAGUGCGACUCCCUUAACUUUAGUCGUUAUCACAUCAUCCUUGAACUCAUCAUUUAUAUAGAAUUCCUUGAUAAUUUCUGAGUAGAUUUUGGUUUUGGAGUUCAG
rnacentral:lncRNA from 1 species